UACGGAGGGGCGAGCGUUAUUCGGAAUUAUUGGGCGUAAAGGGCGCGUAGGCGGCUGUACAAGUCAAAGGUGAAAUCCCUCGGCUCAACUGAGGAACUGCCUUUGAAACUGUACGCUUGAGGCCGGGAGGGGUAGCGGAAUUCCCAAUGUAGCGGUGAAAUGCGUAGAUAUUGGGAGGAACACCGGUGGCGAAGGCGGUUCUCUGGGCCUGUACUGACGCUGAGGAACGAAAGCGUGGGGAGCGAACAGG
rnacentral:rRNA from 1 species